rnacentral:lncRNA from 1 species
CCCUGCUCUCUCAAUUCUCUCCAAAACUCCUACAAACCCUAGCUGCCACCAUCAAAUUACAACCAUAAUACCUCCCAAAUUAUGGAUUCCAAGGUCAUCGGAGACCUGUAUCAACCUCCCAUGGCUUCUACAUGUUCGAUUCUGUGGUCUCAUGACCAGAUCAUGAAGAGAUUUUUCCAGUCUUUGCUUGAUGAUUCUUCUCCGGUCGUCUCUGACCUUUUUCCGGCCAGCCAUGGCUAUUCGAGUCAGACUUUUGACUCUCCAGCUUAGAUCGAUAGUUUUCAAGGCCUUUCUC